AACGAACGCUGGCGGCAGGCUUAACACAUGCAAGUCGAGCGAGACCUUCGGGUCUAGCGGCGGACGGGUGAGUAACGCGUGGGAACGUGCCCUUCUCUACGGAAUAGCCCCGGGAAACUGGGAGUAAUACCGUAUACGCCCUUUGGGGGAAAGAUUUAUCGGAGAAGGAUGGGCCCGGGUUUUAUUGGGUAGUUGGUGGGGUAAUGGCCCACCAAGCCGACGAUCCAUAGCUGGUUUGAGAGGAUUAUCAGCCACACUGGGACUGAGACACGGCCCAGACUCCUCCGGGAGGCAGCAGUGGGGAAUCUUAGACAAUGGGGGCAACCCUGAUCUAGCCAUGCCGCGUGAGUGAUGAAGGCCUUAGGGUUGUAAAGCUCUUUCAGCUGGGAAGAUAAUGACGGUACCAGCAGAAGAGGCCCCGGCUAACUCCGUGCCAGCCGCCGCAGUAA
rnacentral:rRNA from 1 species